rnacentral:rRNA from 1 species
UACAGAGGUCUCAAGCGUUGUUCGGAUUCAUUGGGCGUAAAGGGUGCGUAGGUGGCGCUGUAAGUCGGGCGUGAAAUUUCGGAGCUUAACUCCGAAACUGCAUUCGAUACUGCGGUGCUUGAGGACUGGAGAGGAGACUGGAAUUCAUGGUGUAGCAGUGAAAUGCGCAGAUAUCAGGAAGAACACCCGUGGCGAAGGCGGCUCUCUGGGACGGUACUGACGCUGAGACGCGAAAGCGUGGGGAGCGAACAGG